AAACACCCCUCACCUGGUUGUCCAGGUCUCAGUAAGAAACACCCCUCACCUGGUUGUCUAGGUCUCAGUAAGGAACACCCCUCACCUGGUUGACUAGGUCUCAGUAAGAAACACCCCUCACCUGGUUGUCCAGGUCUCAGUAAGAAACACCCCUCACCUGGUUGUCUAGGUCUCAGUAAGGAACACCCCUCACCUGGUUGACUAGGUCUCAGUAAGGAACUCCCCUCACCUGGUUGACUAGGUCUCAGUAA